AGAGUUUGAUCCUGGCUCAGGACGAACGCUGGCGGCGUGCCUAAUACAUGCAAGUAGAACGCUGAAGAGAGGGGCUUGCUCUUCUUGGAUGAGUUGCGAACGGGUGAGUAACGCGUAGGUAACCUGCCUUGUAGCGGGGGAUAACUAUUGGAAACGAUAGCUAAUACCGCAUAACAAUGGAUGACACAUGUCAUUUAUUUGAAAGGGGCAAUUGUUCCACUACAAGAUGGACCUGCGUUGUAUUAGCUAGUAGGUGAGGUAAUGGCUCACCUAGGCGACGAUACAUAGCCGACCUGAGAGGGUGAUCGGCCACACUGGGACUGAGACACGGCCCAGACUCCUACGGGAGGCAGCAGUAGGGAAUCUUCGGCAAUGGGGGCAACCCUGACCGAGCAACGCCGCGUGAGUGAAGAAGGUUUUCGGAUCGUAAAGCUCUGUUGUAAGUCAAGAACGGGUGUGAGAGUGGAAAGUUCACACUGUGACGGUAGCUUACCAGAAAGGGACGGCUAACUACGUGCCAGCAGCCGCGGUAAUACGUAGGUCCCGAGCGUUGUCCGGAUUUAUUGGGCGUAAAGCGAGCGCAGGCGGUUUGAUAAGUCUGAAGUUAAAGGCUGUGGCUCAACCAUAGUUCGCUUUGGAAACUGUCAAACUUGAGUGCAGAAGGGGAGAGUGGAAUUCCAUGUGUAGCGGUGAAAUGCGUAGAUAUAUGGAGGAGCACCGGUGGCGAAAGCGGCUCUCUGGUCUGUAACUGGCGCUGAGGCUCGAAAGCGUGGGGAGCGAACAGGAUUAGAUACCCUGGUAGUCCACGCCGUAAACGAUGAGUGCUAGGUGUUGGAUCCUUUCCGGGAUUCAGUGCCGCAGCUAACGCAUUAAGCACUCCGCCUGGGGAGUACGACCGCAAGGUUGAAACUCAAAGGAAUUGACGGGGGCCCGCACAAGCGGUGGAGCAUGUGGUUUAAUUCGAAGCAACGCGAAGAACCUUACCAGGUCUUGACAUCCCGAUGCUAUUUCUAGAGAUAGAAAGUUACUUCGGUACAUCGGUGACAGGUGGUGCAUGGUUGUCGUCAGCUCGUGUCGUGAGAUGUUGGGUUAAGUCCCGCAACGAGCGCAACCCCUAUUGUUAGUUGCCAUCAUUCAGUUGGGCACUCUAGCGAGACUGCCGGUAAUAAACCGGAGGAAGGUGGGGAUGACGUCAAAUCAUCAUGCCCCUUAUGACCUGGGCUACACACGUGCUACAAUGGUUGGUACAACGAGUUGCGAGUCGGUGACGGCGAGCUAAUCUCUUAAAGCCAAUUUCAGUUCGGAUUGUAGGCUGCAACUCGCCUACAUGAAGUCGGAAUCGCUAGUAAUCGCGGAUCAGCACGCCGCGGUGAAUACGUUCCCGGGCCUUGUACACACCGCCCGUCACACCACGAGAGUUUGUAACACCCGAAGUCGGUGAGGUAACCUUUUGGAGCCAGCCGCCUAAGGUGGGACAGAUGAUUGGGGUGAAGUCGUAACAAGGUA
rnacentral:rRNA from 1 species